rnacentral:lncRNA from 1 species
GCGCUUGUGUGUUGUAAAGUCAAUAUGACCCUUGAAAUUGACAGUUGAUUUUAUUUGCAAUGGGAGGGUGGUUUCAAGAAACUGGGGGAAAAGUCAUACAAGUCUACUAAGUAAAACAUGUUUGAGAUUGAACACCUUAUUUUCCUGCAAUGUUUAACAUUGAAUAAGGCCUAUACAUCCCAAAUGGCACCCUAUUCCCUAUAUAGUGCACUACUUCUGACCAAGGACCAUAGUGUUCUGGUCAAAAAUAGUGCACUACGUAGGAAAAAGGGUGCCAUUUGGAACAUAAGUACAGUGUUAUUGUAUUAUGGUGAAGAAAAUACAGUGUAGAAUGCAUAACUAAAAACUAAAAUAUAUACCAUAACAAUAUUUAUUCAGAUUUAAAACAACAAAAAAAGGUUUCUAAAAUGUCACAAAAGAAAACUUUGUACAACAUUUGUACAGUUUCAACAUGAAGAAAAUACAAAGCCAAUGAACAAACAGACUGAUCAAAAUGUAAAGAAAUAACACUCAUAUAGGCAUGGUCCUCGUAUUGACUACAGCAGUGUCUCCAUCUAUUCCUACGGGACAAGGGCCCGUAUUCAUAAAGCCUAGAUCAGCACUCCUACUCUGAGACACUGAAUAUGAGCCCAGGGGUGCCCUUCAUCAGUUGAGACAGGUAUUGGUCCAGGGCUAGAGAAAAAAGGAGCACCUCCCAGGGUCCCCCUAAGGAAUGGCUUGAAGAACACUGCACUAUGGAACACUGAAAGCAUUUUGAUAAACAUUAUUGGGGGAUUUCUCAAUUCAUCAUCACCUUUGAUACGCCCACAUAACUAAAAAGGGCCAAGCAGCAACCAGUUUCCCUAGUUACACGCGAUGCCGAAAAAGCACUGAUUGGCUGAACAUAAAAUAGUUAACUAUGCAUAUUAGUGUCUUUGCUGUGGUAAAAAAAAGAAAUGAUCUUGGCUCAAACCACAAGUACAACCAGUGUUCACACAAAACAGGCUUCAUCCAUCCCAAUGUCCGCUCCACAACGUAACCACAAACAAACCUUCCUUACAAGCACCUUGAUCUUAAACCAACCCUACCCCACCCACUCUGGACAGCAACUCCAUCCCCUCCAUAAGAGUCAUAUGUUUUUUUAAACCCACCCCAUCCUAUCGCUCUCCCUCCCCACCCCGCACAGAAAGCAUGGUAACCCUAGCACUAACCCACCCCCAUCCCUCCCUAAAAAAUAUAUAUAUUAUUGUCCAAUAGCGUUCUUCCUCAUCAUCUCCUCGUCCUGAACGGAGAGCUCGGUGAGCUUGCGGCCCAGCCUCUCGUGUAGAUCCAGGUACUUGGCCACACAGCGGUCCAGACAAACCGCCUCCCCUUUAGACAGCUCCGCCUCCUUGUAGUGUGGGGGCACGCACUUCCUGUGGCAUGCGUUGGUCAUCCUGCGAGGAGGAAGAUGGAGAGAAAGGUCGUUAAGACAUUGUAGGUUACGAUAAAGAUGAGGGUUGUAUCUCAAGUGUGUUCCUGUUUUCC